AACGACUCUCGACAACGGAUAUCUCGGCUCUUGCAUCGAUGAAGAACGUAGCGAAAUGCGAUACUUGGUGUGAAUUGCAGAAUCCCGUGAACCAUCGAGUCUUUGAACGCAAGUUGCGCCCGAAGCCACUAGGCUGAGGGCGCGCCUGCCUGGGUGUCAUGC
rnacentral:rRNA from 1 species